rnacentral:rRNA from 1 species
GAUGAACGCUGGCGGCGUGCCUAAUACAUGCAAGUCGAGCGAACGGACGAGAAGCUUGCUUCUCUGAUGUUAGCGGCGGACGGAUGAGUAACACGUGGAUAACCUACCUAUAAGACUGGGAUAACUUCGGGAAACCGGAGCUAAUACCGGAUAAUAUUUUGAACCGCAUGGUUCAAAAGUGAAAGACGGUCUUGCUGUCACUUAUAGAUGGAUCCGCGCUGCAUUAGCUAGUUGGUAAGGUAACGGCUUACCAAGGCAACGAUGCAUAGCCGACCUGAGAGGGUGAUCGGCCACACUGGAACUGAGACACGGUCCAGACUCCUACGGGAGGCAGCAGUAGGGAAUCUUCCGCAAUGGGCGAAAGCCUGACGGAGCAACGCCGCGUGAGUGAUGAAGGUCUUCGGAUCGUAAAACUCUGUUAUUAGGGAAGAACAUAUGUGUAAGUAACUGUACACAUCUUGACGGUACCUAAUCAGAAAGCCACGGCUAACUACGUG